ACCAAACUCCACAGCAGUUGGUU
rnacentral:snRNA from 1 species